UACGUAGGGUGCGAGCGUUAAUCGGAAUUACUGGGCGUAAAGCGUGCGCAGGCGGUUCGUGAAGUCCGAUGUGAAAGCCCUGGGCUUAACCUAGGAAUGGCAUUGGAAACUGGCGGACUAGAGUGCGGCAGAGGGGGGUGGAAUUCCUGGUGUAGCAGUGAAAUGCGUAGAGAUCAGGAGGAACACCGAUGGCGAAGGCAGCCCCCUGGGUUGACACUGACGCUCAGGCACGAAAGCGUGGGGAGCAAAC
rnacentral:rRNA from 1 species